rnacentral:rRNA from 1 species
UACGUAGGAGGCGAGCGUUGUCCGGAGUUACUGGGCGUAAAGGGUGCGCAGGCGGCGGUUCGCUGUGGAUAGAUGAAAUCUCCGUGGCUUACCUGGGAGGAUGGUCAUCCAGACGGGAUCGCUUGAGGGUCGGAGAGGGGCGUGGAAUUCCGGGGUGGAGGCGGUGAAAUGCGUAGAGAAUCCGGAGGAACACCGACGGCGUAGGCAGCGGACCCUGGACG